AUUGAACGCUGGCGGCAGGCCUAACACAUGCAAGUCGAGCGGAUGAAGGGAGCUUGCUCCUGGAUUCAGCGGCGGACGGGUGAGUAAUGCCUAGGAAUCUGCCUGGUAGUGGGGGAUAACGUCCGGAAACGGGCGCUAAUACCGCAUACGUCCUGAGGGAGAAAGUGGGGGAUCUUCGGACCUCACGCUAUCAGAUGAGCCUAGGUCGGAUUAGCUAGUUGGUGGGGUAAAGGCCUACCAAGGCGACGAUCCGUAACUGGUCUGAGAGGAUGAUCAGUCACACGGGAACUGAGACACGGUCCAGACUCCUACGGGAGGGAGCAGUGGGGAAUAUUGGACAAUGGGCGAAAGCCUGAUCCAGCCAUGCCGCGUGUGUGAAGAAGGUCUUCGGAUUGUAAAGCACUUUAAGUUGGGAGGAAGGGCAGUAAGUUAAUACCUUGCUGUUUUGACGUUACCAACAGAAUAAGCACCGGCUAACUUCGUG
rnacentral:rRNA from 1 species